rnacentral:rRNA from 1 species
GACGAACGCUGGCGGCGUGCUUAACACAUGCAAGUCGAACGGAAAGGCCCUGCUUUUGUGGGGUGCUCGAGUGGCGAACGGGUGAGUAACACGUGAGUAACCUGCCCUUGACUUUGGGAUAACUUCAGGGAACUGGGGCUAAUACCGGAUAGGAGCUCCUGCUGCAUGGUGGGGGUUGGAAAGUUUCGGCGGUUGGGGAUGGACUCGCGGCUUAUCAGCUUGUUGGUGGGGUAGUGGCUUACCAAGGCUUUGACGGGUAGCCGGCCUGAGAGGGUGACCGGACACAUUGGGACUGAGAUACGGCCCAGACUCCUACGGGAGGCAGCAGUGGGGAAUAUUGCACAAUGGGCGGAAGCCUGAUGCAGCAACGCCGCGUGCGGGAUGACGGCCUUCGGGUUGUAAACCGCUUUCGCCUGUGACGAAGCGUGAGUGACGGUAAUGGGUAAAGAAGCACCGGCUAACUACGUG